ACUUUAGAAAGACUACAAAAUGAACACACUGGCUUCAUAAACCACAAACACAAACUAGCAAGAACUGUUGUUUUAUCGCCACCUUCAUCAACAAACUCCCUAUGUCAUGUUUUUGACUUUGGGAAGUUGAAAAAGCCGUCUCAUUUUGGUAAUCUUCCGGUCAUGGGCAGAAGAGUUGAGAAAGGCGACUUUGAGGACACGCACACCCCAGACAAAGGCAACUCUGCCCAAAGGUGUGCACCGCACCAUGGCGGAAAACUGGCCGAGGAAAAUAUCCGGAAAUACACGAAAAAUGGCUUACCAGGCAGACUGUUACGGGGUUGAAGAGGUGCUGACAGUGUGCUGAUGGUGUUCUGAUGACGGGGUGACAGUGUGCUGAUGACGUGGUGUCAGUCUACUGACAAUGUGCUGACAGUGUGCUGACAGUGUGCUGACAGUCUACUGACAGUGUGCUGAUGAAGGACUUCUCUCACCACAGUCUGUCACUUUGUUUCGGACUUGAUUUUGUUCGUGUCACACGCCCAAAUUCACUUUCCAUGUGGGUCGACGUCACCCCUGGGGGCAUAUUGGCCUGGGAGAGGCUAGGCUGACUCACAAGUCGACGCUCUGACCCAUAUGAGCGUAUAGAUGCACACGGGAGCGUCCUUUCAAUUGCAAUUAAUUAUGGAAAUUUGCAAACGCGUCUGACGCGUCAACGGUAUAUGAUUGCAAAUCGCUUUUAACGCGUGAGACGCGUCAACGGUGCUCUACGGGUUAAGAACAGUGGCAGUCUGGCAAUCUUCAAGAAAGCGCUGAAGACUCACUUAUUCACUAAAUCCUAUGACUUUACAAACGUGACGAUCAGGGUUGCAGUAAAGGAAAUAAUUGAAACAUAUUCUCCUAUUUUUCAAAGAAUCACUUCACAUACACACAUAGAUCAUCCACAGUCUUUUCUGAUACUUUGAUUUGAAGCUGCAGUCAUUUUUCUUUGAGCAAUUUCAGUGAGGACAUGUCCAAAACAUGACAUGAUCUGGUUAGACUGUUAGGAGACUAGACAGAGUUGUGGUGUGGUGCUGGCCAAGGCUGGCUGGCUGGCUGGCUGCAGCUGGUCAGUCUUAGGCCUGGCUCAAACAGCCAGCCAGGUUACUUCAACAUGUGUUUUAAACUAAUGUAGACAAUAUUGAGGUUUACAUUCAUUUAAUUAUUUUCAUUUAUAAAAAAAUAUAUAAAAUCAACUUAGAUAAAAAAAUCUGAUUUGAAUAAAAAAAAUCCAUUUUUUUCAUUUAAAAAAAAUCAACAACCCUGGUGAGGAUUGAGGACAACUUUAGGUGCUAAUGUUACUGUUGUAAUGUUGGCGGCCCUGUGGAGCGCUGCGGAGGUGGACCGGGGCCUGAAACCUCAUCACCGGUGAACGGAAACAGGUAAACUUGACAUGGGUAAGCUUGGGUGUGAUUCUGGAAUAUUACCAAGCUGUCACCUCAGCCACAAAAAGCUUGAAACAGGUAAACUUGACAUGGGUAAGCUUGGGUGUGAUUCUGGAAUAUUACCAAGCUGUCACCUCAGCCACAAAAAGCUUGAAACAGGUUAACUUGACAUGGGUAAGCUUGGGUGUGAUUCUGGAAUGUUACCAAGCUGUCACCUCAGCCACAAAAAGCUUGAAACAGGUAAACUUGACAUGGGUAAGCUUGGGUGUGAUUCUGGAAUGUUACCAAGCUGUCACCUCAGCCACAAAAAGCUUGACACAGGUAAACUUGACAUGGGUAAGCUUGGGUGUGAUUCUGGAAUAUUACCAAGCUGUCACCUCAGCCACAAAAAGCUUGAAACAGGUAAACUUGACAUGGGUAAGCUUGGGUGUGAUUCUGGAA